GUUUGAGCACGUGCAGACUGCCUCGAAAUCACGGUUUUGGCCGCAUUGGAAAUCUUGAUGAACUGUUGCGAUCCAUGGACCAACCCAACAUUCAUGGACCAACCCAACAUGGAAACUGCAUGCCGAGAGUUGAGCCUUACACCAGGCACAUCCAGAACCGAGCUUGGGUUACAGAGCUUGGAUUACAGGUUGCUGCUCAUAUGAGGAAUUAAGGUUUGUCAGCACCAAUCCCAUGCUUGAGGGUCACCCAAGUGGUAAAAAGGCUGACACCUGCAUCACUUCUGGCUUCCUUCCAGAAGGAAGCUGAAAUGCCUUAAUACAACUGGAAUACUGUUCAAAGUUACGUUAAACCCCACCCACUCAAACCCUUUCAUGAUUAUGCCAGUUUGAGUUGUUACUCCCAUUUCUCAUUUAUCUACUGUGAAUAUCUGACAAAAA